AUGUGAUCGUCUCUCGCAUAUCAAUAAGCGGAGGAAAAGAAACUAACAAGGAUUCCCCUAGUAACGGCGAGUGAAGCGGGAAGAGCUCAAAUUUGAAAUCUUAAAGGGUUUCCCUUUACGAAUUGUAGUUUAAAGAAGUGUUUUCUGUUGAGGUUUUGGUAAAAGUUCUUUGGAAUAGGACAUCAUAGAGGGUGAGAAUCCCGUAUUUGACCUUUACUUUCAACUUUGUGAUACACUUUCAAAGAGUCGGAUUGUUUGGGAAUGCAGUCCAAAAUGGGUGGUAAAUUUCAUCUAAAGCUAAAUAUUGGCGAGAGACCGAUAGCGAACAAGUACCGUGAGGGAAAGAUGAAAAGAACUUUGAAAAGAGAGUUAAACAGUACGUGAAAUUGUCAAAAGGGAAGCGUUUGACACCAGUGUUGUUUUUCUGAAAAUCAAUUAAAGAACUGUUUAUGCUAAGCUGUUUAGACUUUAUCAGCUAUCUGUUUAGUUUUGAGCUUUUCUUUAAUGCACUUUUCAGUUAACAAGUCAACAUCAAUUUCUUUUGCUGUAAAAAAGCUUGAGGAAGGUGGCUUGAGAUUCGUCUUAAGUGUUUAUAGCCUCUUGCCUAUGCAGUCGGAGAGAUUGAGGUCUGCAGCGUAGAUCCUUCGGGGCUAAAUGCAUUUGUGCUAAGUUAUAACAUUUUAUAGACAACUUGUUGACUAUGAUUUGUCUUGUAGCUUACUCGCUUAUGUUAUUUUACCUACGCUUAGGAUGUUGAGUAGCGACAUACGCAC
rnacentral:rRNA from 1 species